rnacentral:rRNA from 1 species
GGAAUAUUGGACAAUGGGCGAAAGCCUGAUCCAGCCAUGCCGCGUGGGUGAAGAAGGCCCUAGGGUUGUAAAUCCCUUUCAGCGGGGAAGAUAAUGACGGUACCAGCAGAAGAAGCCCCGGCUAACUCCGUGCCAGCAGCCGCGGUAAUACGGAGGGUGCUAGCGUUGUUCGGAAUUACUGGGCGUAAAGCGCACGUAGGCGUGCUGUUAAGUCAGUGGUGAAAUCCCGAGGCUCAACCUCGGAAUUGCCUUUGAUACUGGCAGCCUUGAGUUCGAGAGAGGUGAGUGGAAUUCCGAGUGUAGAGGUGAAAUUCGUAGAUAUUCGGAGGAACACCAGUGGCGAAGGCGGCUCACUGGCUCGAUACUGACGUUGAGGUGCGAAAGCGUGGGGAGCAAAC